rnacentral:rRNA from 1 species
GGUUAAGCGACUAAGCGUACACGGUGGAUGCCCUGGCAGUCAGAGGCGAUGAAGGACGUGCUAAUCUGCGAAAAGCGUCGGUAAGGUGAUAUGAACCGUUAUAACCGGCGAUGUCCGAAUGGGGAAACCCAGUGCAAUUCGUUGCACUAUCGUUAACUGAAUACAUAGGUUAACGAGGCGAACCGGGGGAACUGAAACAUCUAAGUACCCCGAGGAAAAGAAAUCAACCGAGAUUCCCCCAGUAGCGGCGAGCGAACGGGGAGCAGCCCAGAGUCUGAAUCAGCUUGUGUGUUAGUGGAACGGUCUGGAAAGUCCGACGGUACAGGGUGAUAGUCCCGUACACCAAAAUGCACAGGUUGUGAACUCGAAGAGUAGGGCGGGACACGUGGUAUCCUGUCUGAAUAUGGGGGGACCAUCCUCCAAGGCUAAAUACUCCUGACUGACCGAUAGUGAACCAGUACCGUGAGGGAAAGGCGAAAAGAACCCCGGCGAGGGGAGUGAAAAAGAACCUGAAACCGUGUACGUACAAGCAGUGGGAGCACCUUCGGGUGUGACUGCGUACCUUUUGUAUAAUGGGUCAGCGACUUAUAUUCUGUAGCAAGGUUAACCGUAUAGGGGAGCCGCAGGGAAACCGAGUCUUAACUGGGCGUUAAGUUGCAGGGUAUAGACCCGAAACCCGGUGAUCUAGCCAUGGGCAGGUUGAAGGUUGGGUAACACUAACUGGAGGACCGAACCGACUAAUGUUGAAAAAUUAGCGGAUGACUUGUGGCUGGGGGUGAAAGGCCAAUCAAACCGGGAGAUAGCUGGUUCUCCCCGAAAGCUAUUUAGGUAGCGCCUCGUGAAUUCAUCUUCGGGGGUAGAGCACUGUUUCGGCUAGGGGGUCAUCCCGACUUACCAACCCGAUGCAAACUACGAAUACCGAAGAAUGUUAUCACGGGAGACACACGGCGGGUGCUAACGUCCGUCGUGAAGAGGGAAACAACCCAGACCGCCAGCUAAGGUCCCAAAGUCAUGGUUAAGUGGGAAACGAUGUGGGAAGGCACAGACAGCCAGGAUGUUGGCUUAGAAGCAGCCAUCAUUUAAAGAAAGCGUAAUAGCUCACUGGUCGAGUCGGCCUGCGCGGAAGAUGUAACGGGGCUAAACCAUGCACCGAAGCUGCGGCAGCGACACUAUGUGUUGUUGGGUAGGGGAGCGUUCUGUAAGCCUGCGAAGGUGUGCUGUGAGGCAUGCUGGAGGUAUCAGAAGUGCGAAUGCUGACAUAAGUAACGAUAAAGCGGGUGAAAAGCCCGCUCGCCGGAAGACCAAGGGUUCCUGUCCAACGUUAAUCGGGGCAGGGUGAGUCGACCCCUAAGGCGAGGCCGAAAGGCGUAGUCGAUGGGAAACAGGUUAAUAUUCCUGUACUUGGUGUUACUGCGAAGGGGGGACGGAGAAGGCUAUGUUAGCCGGGCGACGGUUGUCCCGGUUUAAGCAUGUAGGCUGGUUGUCCAGGCAAAUCCGGAUAAUCAAGGCUGAGGUGUGAUGACGAGGCACUACGGUGCUGAAGUAACAAAUGCCCUGCUUCCAGGAAAAGCCUCUAAGCAUCAGGUAACAUCAAAUCGUACCCCAAACCGACACAGGUGGUCAGGUAGAGAAUACCAAGGCGCUUGAGAGAACUCGGGUGAAGGAACUAGGCAAAAUGGUGCCGUAACUUCGGGAGAAGGCACGCUGGUGUGUAGGUGAAGCCCCUGCGGGUGGAGCUGAGACCAGUCGAAGAUACCAGCUGGCUGCAACUGUUUAUUAAAAACACAGCACUGUGCAAACACGAAAGUGGACGUAUACGGUGUGACGCCUGCCCGGUGCCGGAAGGUUAAUUGAUGGGGUUAUCCGUAAGGAGAAGCUCUUGAUCGAAGCCCCGGUAAACGGCGGCCGUAACUAUAACGGUCCUAAGGUAGCGAAAUUCCUUGUCGGGUAAGUUCCGACCUGCACGAAUGGCGUAAUGAUGGCCAGGCUGUCUCCACCCGAGACUCAGUGAAAUUGAACUCGCUGUGAAGAUGCAGUGUACCCGCGGCAAGACGGAAAGACCCCGUGAACCUUUACUAUAGCUUGACACUGAACAUUGAGCCUUGAUGUGUAGGAUAGGUGGGAGGCUUUGAAGCGUGGACGCCAGUCUGCGUGGAGCCAACCUUGAAAUACCACCCUUUAAUGUUUGAUGUUCUAACGUUGGCCCCUGACCGGGGUUGCGGACAGUGUCUGGUGGGUAGUUUGACUGGGGCGGUCUCCUCCCAAAGCGUAACGGAGGAGCACGAAGGUUAGCUAAUCCUGGUCGGACAUCAGGAGGUUAGUGCAAUGGCAUAAGCUAGCUUGACUGCGAGCGUGACGGCGCGAGCAGGUGCGAAAGCAGGUCAUAGUGAUCCGGUGGUUCUGAAUGGAAGGGCCAUCGCUCAACGGAUAAAAGGUACUCCGGGGAUAACAGGCUGAUACCGCCCAAGAGUUCAUAUCGACGGCGGUGUUUGGCACCUCGAUGUCGGCUCAUCACAUCCUGGGGCUGAAGUAGGUCCCAAGGGUAUGGCUGUUCGCCAUUUAAAGUGGUACGCGAGCUGGGUUUAGAACGUCGUGAGACAGUUCGGUCCCUAUCUGCCGUGGGCGCUGGAGAAUUGAGGGGGGCUGCUCCUAGUACGAGAGGACCGGAGUGGACGCAUCACUGGUGUUCGGGUUGUCAUGCCAAUGGCACUGCCCGGUAGCUAAAUGCGGAAGAGAUAAGUGCUGAAAGCAUCUAAGCACGAAACUUGCCCCGAGAUGAGUUCUCCCUGAGACUUUAAGUCUCCUGAAGGAACGUUAAAGACGAUGACGUUGAUAGGCCGGGUGUGUAAGCGCAGCGAUGCGUUGAGCUAACCGGUACUAAUGAACCGUGAGGCUUAACCUU